ACAUUUAUCUAAAUACCACGUGAACCGACUUUUUUGUCACUGGUGUUACCACGCUUUUUUUCCUAACAUUUAAGGCUUUAAUAAAACAUUUUGACUCAAUCUCGUCAGCACAUGUAGUCAGAGUCAGACAAGAAUUAUGACAAUGCAAUGCAACCAGAAGACUGUGUUUUAAAAUGUAUUAAGGUUUGUUAAAAGUGUGAUUGAAUAACUUUCAUUUAUUUGCACUACCAUGUAUUUACAAUGAAAAUAGUUGAAAAAUCUUAUAUAAACAAUGAAUGAUACUCUCUUUAAAAUCUUACCUUAUGAGUGAAACAAAAUGUAUGGAUGUAAAAUUAUUAUCAUGUGAAAUAUAACACAUUUUAUGAACAUGACAUCAGAAAAUCUCACAGUAACAUCAGUGACACAAUGAAACACCAGUGACAAGAGCAAAUAUUCUCAUUUUAAAACAAAUAAACUUUUACAUCAUACAGGUUCUUGAACAUUUUAAGAACACAUGAAGUCCAUUAACAAACAACUAAACUGUUUAACUAAGUUAAGAUUAAGAUUCAAUUGUUCACUACUACAGAGAAAAGUGGUCGGGUUUCCACCAACAAACAUGGAACAAUUUAUUGUUCAUGGCAACUUUUUUCACUUGUCCAACUUCCCCAUGAUGAAAUCCCAGAACUGCUGCUCAAUCUGGACUGAACGCUUAUUGACUGCCCGGGGCUCUGGAAUCAGGCACGUGAUCUGGUCAUCGCUGUACCAGCUGACAUCAUCUCUGGGGCUUGGCCAGAAGAACUUAUUAAGUCCAUUCAAAAGUCAUGCACUUGACUUUUAUGUUGUCUUCUUCCAGGUGCAGGUUGAUGCCAGGGUAGGGUUCGUCAUCAUAACGUACAACACACCACUGUCCAAUGUGAUGGUCUUUGAUGGCAUUUGGUCUAAAUUUCCUCUCUGUUUUAUCAGUUGCCUCCAUUGCUACAAGAACAACCUCCUGUAGACUGUGACAUGGACAAUCAAACACGCCCUGAGCAGCCCGGCAGAAACAGCUUAUGUUCCUGUACUUGAGAAUGUUGGGAGACACGCUGAAGACCUCAUGUAUUUUCAUGGAGCCUUUAACGCUGGAAAAAGGUCUGUGCAUCUGGGAUAUCUUUCCCUUGGUGAACCAACAUGUCAGCCGUUCUCUUCAGUGUGGCCCCUACUCCAUCUGGUGCACCCUUUCCAUGACUUGCCUCGAAGAAGUUCCAUGUCACGACUGAGAAACCUCUUUGGUGUGGUUCAGUGGAUAUGAUGUGAAAGUUUGAGCGGUUUUUGUAUUGUGUGGCAGGUCCAUCACUAAAAAAGUGAAGGUUUUGGA